AAAAUGGAUUAAUUAAAAAUUAAAAAGUAGAAAAAAAUCAAAUUAGAUUAUUCCGAUGAAUAAAAUGACGACAGAAGAUAUAGAUGACAUAGAUCUGAUUCUGGAUGAUCGAGAAUUGGCGGAAUUUGUAGAAGUUAAAAAAAAUAAGAAAUAUGUAAUCGGCGACGUUGACCAAUCGGCACUAGAGGACGACUGGGAGGACAAGGUUCCUGAUACGUCGGAUUACGAAAAAUCUGGAAAAUCUAACUGCUAUAGAUCGAAAUAAUCAGUACUUUUAUAUAUUCUGGAUAGGACAAAUUAUUUUUAGGAUACAUGAGCAAUAGAAAAUAGUAAAAAACA